rnacentral:rRNA from 1 species
UACGUAGGGUGCAAGCGUUGUCCGGAAUUAUUGGGCGUAAAGAGCUCGUAGGCGGUUCGUCGCGUCGGCUGUGAAAACCCGGAGCUCAACUCCGGGCCUGCAGUCGAUACGGGCGGACUCGAGUUCGGCAGGGGAGACUGGAAUUCCUGGUGUAGCGGUGAAAUGCGCAGAUAUCAGGAAGAACACCCGUGGCGAAGGCGGCUCUCUGGAACGCAACUGACGCUGAGACGCGAAAGCGUGGGGAGCAAACAGG